UACAGAGGGUGCAAGCGUUAAUCGGAAUUACUGGGCGUAAAGCGCGCGUAGGUGGUUUGUUAAGUUGGAUGUGAAAUCCCCGGGCUCAACCUGGGAACUGCAUUCAAAACUGACAAGCUAGAGUAUGGUAGAGGGUGGUGGAAUUUCCUGUGUAGCGGUGAAAUGCGUAGAUAUAGGAAGGAACACCGGUGGCGAAGGCGGCGACCUGGGACGAUACUGACGCUGAGGUGCGAAAGCGUGGGGAGCAAACAGGAUUAGAUACCCGUGUAGU
rnacentral:rRNA from 1 species